UGACCUCGGAUCAGGUAGGGAUACCCGCUGAACUUAAGCAUAUCAAUAAGCGGAGGAAAAGAAACCAACAGGGAUUGCCCCAGUAACGGCGAGUGAAGCGGCAAGAGCUCAAAUUUGAAAGCUGGCUCCUUCGGGGUCCGCAUUGUAAUUUGCAGAGGAUGUUUCGGGAGUGGCCCCCAUCUAAGUGUCCUGGAACGGACCGUCAUAGAGGGUGAGAAUCCCGUAUGGGAUGGGGUGCCCACGCCCGUGUGAAACUCCUUCGACGAGUCGAGUUGUUUGGGAAUGCAGCUCUAAAUGGGUGGUAAAUUUCAUCUAAAGCUAAAUAUUGGCCGGAGACCGAUAGCGCACAAGUAGAGUGAUCGAAAGAUGAAAAGCACUUUGAAAAGAGAGUUAAAAAGCACGUGAAAUUGUUGAAAGGGAAGCGUUUGCGAUCAGACUCGCCGACGGGGUUCAGCCUGCCUUCGGGCAGGUGUACUUCCCCGCCGGCGGGCCAGCGUCGGUUUGGGUGGCCGGUCAAAGGCCCUAGGAAUGUAACGCCUCUCGGGGCGUCUUAUAGCCUAGGGUGUCAUGCGGCCUACCCGGACCGAGGAACGCGCUUCGGCUCGGACGCUGGCAUAAUGGUCGUAAACGACC
rnacentral:rRNA from 2 species